rnacentral:rRNA from 1 species
UACGAAGGGGGCUAGCGUUGCUCGGAAUCACUGGGCGUAAAGCGCACGUAGGCGGAUCUUUAAGUCAGGGGUGAAAUCCCGGAGCUCAACUCCGGAACUGCCUUUGAUACUGGGGAUCUUGGAGUCCGGGAGAGGUGAGUGGAACUGCGAGUGUAGAGGUGAAAUUCGUAGAUAUUCGCAAGAACACCAGUGGCGAAGGCGGCUCACUGGCCCGAUACUGACGCUGAUGCACGAAAGCGUGGGGAGCAAACAGG